CAAAUAUUCCAUCCGUCCAAAAAUACUCGUCAGAGAAAUGAUGUAUCUAGAUGUAUUUUAGUUCUAAAUACAUCUAUUUUUACCCAUUUUUGCGACAAGUAAUUUUGGACGAAGGGGUGAAAA
rfam:Triticum aestivum genome assembly, contig: Triticum_aestivum_CS42_TGACv1_scaffold_272687_3DS